rnacentral:lncRNA from 1 species
CACAGUUUACAUUUUUCUCUGACUUAUAAUAACCUUUUUUCUGAUUUUUAACAACUUUCCUCUGACCUUUUAUAACUUGCUUUGACCCUCCAUAACUUUCUGUAACAAUCUUCUCUGCUAUGACUUGCUUGCUUUAAUUUUCUAUAACCUUUUAGUUCAUUUCUCUGACUCUCUUAGACAUUCUUAGACAAGUUUUCUUUUUUUUUUCUUUCCCUCUUUAUUAUUUAAGUCUCCUACAUUUUUUUUUUUCCUCAGUUAACAUCAAAAUUUUAUCAAAGUCCUUUUUACAGUUCUUAAUAACUUUAAGGCCGUUUAGAUGUCCGGAUCAGGCCAGAUAAGUUUAUACGCUCGAGCUGAGGAACAAAGAGUAAUUCAUUUGCGUUUAUGCACAUCAAUUAUAAAACAAAGGCCAAACAACACAGAACACAGAACAGGUUUUCGCAGCGCAGUUUUCAAAGUACAAAUCCCUCACAUUGAGGGCUUCCCAAGUCCAAAAUACAAAUCUCUCACACAGAGGGCUUCAAACGCUACCAGGACGUCUCCUGGAGCCGCGGUCGGGAGUUCGGACCCGUCAGUCCCUCCUCGGAUCCGCCUACAAAUGUACACAGCUGUAUACUACAAACGCAAGCACAAUUCACAAGACAGACUCAGACCAGACAAGACAAAACAGCGGAUCCGCACAACACUUACCUCCCAGACGUGGGUCGGUGGUCCCUGGGCGGGUCUCAAUCCCGGACCGAGCCCCCAAAUGAAAGACCCCAAAGAGGCACUUUCGUAGAGGGAGACCCACACACCCAGGAACCAGCGAGGCCACGAACUGGAUGUAAAAAAACAAGAGGCUUUAUUGGAGACGCAGGUACCUGGGGCGACUUAGCUUCUGUGUGGCUAAGCGCGCCCGCCCCAAGGGAAAGGCGUCCUUAUAUAGGGAAAAAGGCGCAAGCUAGGAGCAGGGAUUCUAUUUGAUGGUUCAAAUGAGGCACAGAGCCAUUCCAGAUCAGCAUAUUCUCAAGGUCUGGUGUCUGGUACAACAGACUUGAUUCC